UACGAAGGGGGCUAGCGUUGUUCGGAAUUACUGGGCGUAAAGCGCACGUAGGCGGAUCGAUCAGUCAGGGGUGAAAUCCCAGAGCUCAACUCUGGAACUGCCUUUGAUACUGUCGAUCUAGAGUAUGGAAGAGGUGAGUGGAAUUCCGAGUGUAGAGGUGAAAUUCGUAGAUAUUCGGAGGAACACCAGUGGCGAAGGCGGCUCACUGGUCCAUUACUGACGCGUGAGGUGCGAAAGCGUGGGGAGCAAACAGG
rnacentral:rRNA from 1 species